GUGCACAAUCAACAACAAAGCAGUGUUAAACAAUUUUUGCCAAAGCCCAAUACACCAAGGGCCCAACCGAAUCAACUCACAUUGCAAUAACAAAAAUGGAUAAGGCCAAAUCUGACCAGGCAAUGCGUGGACAUGUGUCAGCUUGCGUCAGCAAACAUGUGCAUUAAAUGUAACCAAAUGCAUUAACGGCUAUUAAAUGCACGUGCAGACAAAUUUCAAUGAACAUUAAAAAUGCACGUGCAGACAAAUUUCAAUGAACAUUAAAAAUGCACGUGCCAAAAAUGGAAUAAAGAAAACUCAGAAUAAGAACACUCACAUCUCUCUCUCAGCUCAUGUUCAGUUAUUACCUCCGCCGUGCCGGAGCGGUCCUCGACUGCGGAGGUUCUCAAGAACCUAAUUAAAAGCAAACAUACCACUCGAAAUCACGCCCUGGUCACGAAUCUGUAAGUGAAAUAUUCUACUGCUACAAGAAUUAAGCGAAUUGAAGUGAAGUCUCCAAGAGCCCUAACACCGGAAUCCUAAAUUAAAUGGAAACGGAGGGGAAUCAAGCCACCACACGCUGGGGAUUUUAUUCCCCUCGUGAAACUCUACACUUUGGUAACCUAGAAACUCAAAAAAGAAGAAAAAUAUUUGGAGGCUCACCGGAUCUUUUGCCGGCGUCAGGAGAGUUGAAGCAGAUGAUGAAUUCUUAAAAUUGAAGGUGAUGAAAUGUGAAUUCUGAGAUUUCAGUUGUGAAGGAUCGAGAUUUUCAGUUUCAGAGAAAAAUUGAGAGGAUCCAGAUGAAUGCGAGGUUCUGCGAUUAUAUAGGUGAUAAUCCAGCUGAGUUGUUAUGCUGUGAAGUUUGUUGUAAUUUUCUGUUAUGAUUCAGUUAUCACUUUCUGUUAUGAGCUGCUAGUUAGUUACUCUGAGUUUUUGAGUUUGUUACAAGUUUUCUUUUAUAAGCUGUUAAGAGAUUGGAAGGCUAGUUAUAGGAUGUUAGUGAAAAAACGGUUAGGGUGUUAUGGUUAGUUGGGAAGUUAGACUGAGUUUGGUGAAAGUCAGUUGGGUGAGGAGUGUAGUUAGUUUUUGUGCUGAGUUAGUUACAAGUUCUGAGUUGCUUGUUGUAGGUGUGGACUGAAUGUGUAUUGGUUCUGAAUUUGCAAGUAUGCUUGAAGUUCCUUUCCUUGAUGCCUUGAAGUGCAUUGCAUAUGGACUGGCUUGGAUUCAAUGGAGUGCUUUGGACUGUUUGGCCAAUGACUUGGUGAUUGGUUUUAUACUUGGACAUGUUGUUAAUCAGAGAUACUUGGAAUGUGCUUGAGCUAUUGGAUUUGAGCUCUGUAGUUGGUUUAUAUAGGGUUAUGUAUGAAUAAAUGUUUUGUAUUUUGGAAUUGUAUAGAAAUGGCUUUUUAAUUUGAAAUUGGAUGUAAUGGAUUGUAGAUGAAUGUAUGGUCAACUGGACUUGUAAUGCAUGGCCAUGUCUUAGAAUGAACUUGUAUGAAAGUGUUGAAUUGAAAUGUAAUGAAAUUGGAAUGUAUUUGUAUGAAGAUGGAAUUAAAAUGUAAUGAAGUGGUUGUAACAUGACUUGGUUUGAAUGAAAUGGUGAAAUGAAUUUGUAUGUGAA